GCAAAGGAAAGGUUUUUUUUACUGUAAGAACAAUCAGGAUGUGGAAUUCUCUGCCUGAAGAAGUGGUUUUAUCAGAGUCCAUACAGAUGUUCAAACAGCUACUAGAUGCAUACUUGCAAAAACAGAAUAUUCAAGGAUAUAAUCUUUCAAUGUAGGGUAAUAACUGCUUGAUCCAAGGAUAAAUCUGACUGCCAUUCUGGGGUCAAGAAGUAAUUUUUUUCCUAGCUUGUUGCAAAAUUGUGC
rnacentral:lncRNA from 1 species